rnacentral:lncRNA from 1 species
CGAAAAUUAGUCAUGAUUGGUUCAAUGUUUGUUCCUGCUGGAUAUCUACUGAACGCGUUUGCACCAGACGUAGCAUUUCUGAUUCUGUCGCAAAGUGUUUUGUUUGGUAAGUUAUUUAUCAUUGCCAAGACAAUUGGAAAUUGGUGAUGAAACAUGUUUUUUUCCCAUUAGAACUCCAUUAAAUGUAUCCGUUACCUUCAAAGAUUCUGUUUGUAUAAACUCAAAAGAAAACAUUAUUAUAAAUAGUUUGUUUUUUUCAUUGUUGAAUUCUACAUGUAAUUGCUUACAUCCACUUCAUUUGAACUCUGGUGGAUAGUGGUCACAUUGUCAAUCCUACAACCACAGGCACUUGUCUCAGAAUUUUUCCCCCCUAUAUACCUUAAUAUAACACAAGGUACUUAACUAAAUUUUUUGAAAAAUGACAUUCAGUCCCGAAUUCCCGUUAUUUUUCGAUUUCUUGGUUGUCAAUCCUACUUAAACUUAUUAUGCCGUAAAUCUUAAUUGUUAUAGAAUCAUAUUCAAAACAGUGUAGCUGUGGCCAUUGAUUGACAACCUUAAAUUAUCCCAUUGAGUGGGGAAGAUUAUGUGAACGUUUGUCUGUAACAACCGCUGCUCACUAUGUACUUGUUAAAGGCACUUAAACUGUGGGUUCACAAAAGGUUCUCAACACCUAAAUAAAGAAAUUAGAAAAACUAAUCAGGAAUAACACGAACAUACAAACAUAAAGUUAUUCAGAUUAAUUUUUCGAAACUAUUUUAAUAUUAAAGGCGUUAAGAACUAACAGUUUAAAUUUUUUCUGUAAAGUUUACAGACAACGACCAAAUGGGAUAAUUCAAUCAGUACACUGUUUUGAAUAUGAUUCAACACAAGUACAUACAACUUUAAUUUUACAUAAAAAUUAAAUACAGAAAAUAAUCGAGAGAACCUCAGAUCAAAUUCAGUAUUCGUUUAUAGUAUGUUAAUUUACAUUUUUUGCUUGAGUUAAGCCUUCCAAUUGAUAUUUUAUCGUGUGUCAGUUUUCUAUGUUGUGAUGUUAUAGUAUAACGAAAAAGAAAAAGGGAGAAUGGUUGGUACCAUUAAAACGUUUAAUCCCGCUGCAAAUGUUUGCACCUGUCCUAAGUCAGGAAUCUGAUGUACAGUAGUUGUCGUUUGUUUGUGUAAUUUAUACGUGUUUCUCGUUUCUUGUUUUUUAUAUAGACCAGACCGUUGGUUUUCCCGUUUGAAUGGUUUUACACUAAUUUUAGUAAUUUUGGGGCGUUUUAUAGCUGGUUGUUCGGUGUGAGCCAAUCAUUGGCGGAUCAAAGUGGGGUGGGGGUCCGGGAGGUCUGAAACCCCCUUUUUUUGGCCGAUCAAUUCAUUUGAAUGGGGACAUGUAGUUGGAACCCCCCUCUUUUGUCCUGGGUUGGGAACCCCCCUUUUUAAAAUGGCUGGAUCCGCCCCUGCCAAGGCUCCGUGUUGAAGGCCGUACGUUGACCUAUAAUGGUUUACUUUUAUCAAUUGUUAUUUGGAUGGAGAGUUGUCUCAUUGGCACUCAUACCAUAUCUUCCUAUAUCUACUCAAUAAUCAAGACUACUAUAUAUAAUACUCAAUAGCUUUAUGACUGUUCAUAACACCGUAGUUAAAUUUCUUGUAUACGUUUCUUGAUCCAAAAUACAAGAGUGUUGGCUUGCACACAUAAUUGGUCACAACCUUUGAGAAAAUUCUCAAAAAAAAAAAAUGUUAUAGCAAAAGAAAAUGAUCUCAGUUUCCAAUAGUUAAAUAUAUACAACUGAACAUAAAUGAAUACUUAGUAAACAACAGUGAUUUCUCAAAGAAAUGCUACAUUUUCUUUUUUGAAAUAAUCAUACUAUUAUAUUUUAGGUACUGGAUGCGCACUAACUUUAGGUCCUGGAUUAGUUGUUCUGUCUUCAUAUUUCGAUAAAAGGCGUGGCUUUGCAAACAGUUUUUCAAGCAUAGGAGCAAGCAUUGGCAGUUUGGUAUUUCCUAAGAUAAUUCAGGUGCUGAUAGAUGUGUAUGGACUACAAGGUGCCUUGAUUUUUGUAUCGGGGAUUCUGUUUCACAAUUUGAUUGUCGCAAUGCUGUUGCGCCCGUUGCCACCGUUGAUUGAGACUGCCGGGUCGAUAGAGGGAAAUAUCGAAAAAGAAGAACUUCUUAAAUAUACCAACAAAGAAGCUGAGCUUAGUCAGUCGGUCCAUUCAAAAUCAGCAAAAGAGAAAAAACAUUCAAAUGGGGAUAUCAAAGACCUCGGUUUCGGACCAAAUCAAAAUAUAUCUUCGUCCAUAGAAGAGAAAAGUUCGCAAAUUUUAAACGACAAAGAAGACGAAAAAUUAAAGCAACUGGAGGAGACUUUUGGUAUAUCUUACAACGAAAAGAAUCUGAAUAUGACCAAGGAACUUUGUCGAAGCUCACUGGACUUGUAUACCAGUACGGGAAGUAUUUCAUGUUCUAUACACAACUUAAGUAAAAAUGAGAAAGUUGGUGUCUCUAGGUGCUCACAGUCAAAAGCAACAUGUUGUACAAAGACAUCAUUGACAAGUUUGAUUGAUUUCAAACUUUUGAAGAACCAUAAACUUCAACUCGUAUUAUUUGUAGCAUACUUUUGUAUUUUCAGUUGUGGCUUGACCAUUACAUACAUUCCUCCGUUUGCUCGUGAAAACAACACUUCAGACGAAGAAAUAGCUAUCAUUGUUAUGCUAUUUGGAGCAUGUGAUGUUGUGGCUAGAUUCUCAGUUGCUUGGAUUUCAGAUUCUAAGAAAAUCAAAAGAACGAAUAUUUUAGGAAUUACCUUAUUAAUAACUGGUACCGUUACUAUGUUCAACAGUUUCUUUACUAAUUUUACCAGUUUUGCAAUGUUCUGCGUUGUGAACGGGCUGUUUGGUUCAAUUUACUUUCCAUUUGUUCCUUUAUUAUUGGUAGACAGCGUCGGCGCCGAUAACUUACCUUCAGCACUUUCUUUAUUGAUACUUGUGCAUGGCAUAUCAAUAUCGAUCAUGGCACCAUUAAUGGGUAUGUAUUAAUUAUGUCCUAGUUAUUUGGAUUAUUUAUUUACUAGUAUUUUAAACUCUUUUGACUCAGUCAUGACUUUGUUAUAUUCCGUCCAAAAACCCUAACGUCCAAUCAAAUAAAAAGUAAUGAGGAAAAAAAUAAAUUAGAAAAAAAACCCUUUGAAAUUACAUUAGCUGAAACCAAACUGAACGUGUAAGCAAUGAAACACAAUUUGAUAGAACAUUUAUGUCCUACAACUUUGUUUGAAUUGCUCUACCGGUAGAGUUGAUUAUUUUAAAAAGAAAGGAUUUAAAAAAAUAUUCCCCAAAUACAAACAAGACAACAAACACAAAUCAAUGGGUUUCUGAUUUCCUUCGCACAUAUAUACUGAUGGAACUCUGAUAAAAAAAAAAAAUCCCCACCUUCUGAGUUGUACACAUGCAGUCAAGGGAAAGGUACCUCAUUGCAAUUGACACUAGUAUACAGCUGUAUUUUCAUAUUUUCACUAUGUGUCAUUGUAUUACUAGUAUACUUUAUGUUUCCAGCUUUUCCUGAUCGUUUUACAGGUCACUGUCAAACGUAUGCGGAUUAUGUGAGAGGAUAAAAAGGGGGGUGCGUCAUAAGUACUAGUAUUCUUAAAUUUUCAUAUAUUUAAUUCUUCUUUUAGGUUAUAUACGAGAUAGUACGGGAUCUUACAAUGUUACGUUUUAUGUCAUUGGUUGUGGGAUGAUUAUCGGAGCUUUAGCAUUGUUUUGUGAUUCUUGGGUCAUGAAAUUAGAGGAACAGAGAUUACAAAAGAACAGAGAAGUUAAUAGCGAAGUGGAAGAACAGAAAAACGAUAUAGGCCAUGAGGAAGUGGUGGUCGUCAAUGGAGAAUCGACAAAUUAAUUCAUCCUUGUCUACUAGAUAUAAAAUCAUUUGAAGAAUUGAC